rnacentral:rRNA from 1 species
CCUACGGGUGGCAGCAGUGAGGGAUAUUGGUCAAUGGGCGGGAGCCUGAACCAGCCAAGUCGCGUGAGGGAAGACGGUCCUAUGGAUUGUAAACCUCUUUAGGCGGGGAGCAAUGCCGGGCACGCGUGCCCGGAGGGAGAGUACCCGCAGAAUAAGCAUCGGCUAACUCCGUGCGAGCAGCCGCGGUAAUACCGAGAAUGCGAGCGUUAUCCGGGUUUAUUGGGUUUAAGGGGUGCGUAGGCGGAUGUUUAGGUCAGCGGGAAAGGUCCGGGCUCAACCCGGGCCUGCCGUUGAAACUGGGGAGCUUGAGUGGGCGAGAAGUAUGCGGAAUGCGUGGUGUAGCGGUGAAAUGCAUAGAUAUCACGCAGAACUCCGAUUGCGAAGGCAGCAUACCGGAGCCCGACUGACGCUGAGGCACGAAAGCGUGGGGAUCGAACAGGAUUAGAUACCCCUGUAGUC